rnacentral:rRNA from 1 species
GAUGAACGCUAGCGACAGGCUUAACACACGCAAGUCGAGGGGCAGCAUGAACUUAGCUUGCUAAGUUUGAUGGCGACCGGCGCACGGGUGAGUAACGCGUAUGCAACUUACCUAUCAGAGGAGAAUAGCUCAUCGAAAGAUGAAUUAAUGCUCCAUAAAACAGGGGUCCCGCAUGGGAAUAUUUGUUAAAGAUUCAUCGCUGAUAGAUAGGCAUGCGUUCCAUUAGAUAGUAGGCGGGGUAACGGCCCACCUAGUCGACGAUGGAUAGGGGUUCUGAGAGGAAGGUCCCCCACAUUGGAACUGAGACACGGUCCAAACUCCUACGGGAGGCAGCAGUGAGGAAUAUUGGUCAAUGGGCGAGAGCCUGAACCAGCCAAGUAGCGUGAAGGAUGACUGCCCUAUGGGUUGUAAACUUCUUUUAUACGGGAAUAACAUCAUCCACGUGUGGGUGUCUGCAUGUACCGUAUGAAUAAGCAUCGGCUAACUCCGUGCCAGCAGCCGCGGUAAUACGGAGGAUGCGAGCGUUAUCCGGAUUUAUUGGGUUUAAAGGGAGCGUAGACGGGUCCUUAAGUCAGUUGUGAAAGUUUGCGGCUCAACCGUAAAAUUGCAGUUGAUACUGGGGACCUUGAGUGCGGCAGAGGCAGGCGGAAUUCGUGGUGUAGCGGUGAAAUGCUUAGAUAUCACGAAGAACUCCGAUUGCGAAGGCAGCUUGCUGGACCGUAACUGACGUUGAUGCUCGAAAGUGCGAGUAUCAAACAGG